AGACCAUGAUGAGGGUAAUGCCUAAGUAGAUCCUUGUAUCUCUCCCAAGCCUUGUAUAACGAUUCUAUAUCGAGUUGCAUGAAUGAUGUGAUAUCAUUUCUCAUCUU
rnacentral:snoRNA from 1 species